rnacentral:tRNA from 1 species
GCCGGCGUACUCCAACAGGUAGAGAGGGCAGGUUUAGGUCCUGUGCAGUGCGGGUUCGAAUCCCGCCGCCGGCA